rnacentral:lncRNA from 1 species
AAAUAUUGUUAAUGGAAAGAAUUGGAGGGAGCUCAACCAACGUGAGUCGAAGUGCAAUCCAAAAAUAUAAUCAUCAUUGAAAAGGAAAAAGACACAACUCGCACAUAGGUUAGGCUACUAUGGUGAGCGAGCGUUGCCCCUUUUCAUUUUCAAUAAAUAUUGAUUACCCAUUCAUUUGUCUCUGCCUGCAAGUCAUCCUCCCAAAAGGUAGGCUAUAUCCUAUAGGCCUAUGCCAGUGUCACUGUCAUCAUUCUUGCUGCUUCCAGUUCAGUAGCCAUACCUGCGAGAUCAGGUGCGAGUGUGAUCUCAAAAUAGAGUAGGCUAUAGCCUAUGCAUGGGUGGAGAAGCACUGUCAGUUAUCUUUCCAAGGAAAUGUACUUCCAUAAUAGGCCUAUGAUUAGGCUAUAGUUUACUACAACAGAAUGAGUCACAACAAAACAUGUUAUAACCGUGUAUGUGUGUGGUAGGCUAACUGACGGUAUUUGUCACAGGGGAAGACUCCAGAUAAUGAGGCAUAUUUCCAGGAGAACAUACUAUUGCUUGCCUCUGACAUAAUUUCCUGUGUUUUGAUUGAUUGUGUGUUGUUGAGUUGGGGCUAGAAGACAAAUAGUAGUGUGAUUGAAUAUCAUGGGUGCCUGCUAAAACUAACGCAGGGGAUUUCCUUAGGGGAUAGAAUAUAAUAUUAUCGUUGCCCAUUUUGAAGGUGGCUAACUGAAUUGCUCUAUCCAGUCUCAGAGAGACUUUUAUCAGUCAUAGACUAUACCUGCAAUAUAGUCACAACCUUUACCCACUACACCAAGCAGGUUGAUAUGGCCUGUACAGAAAGGGAACAGAUUGGCGAGCAGUUAAAGUAUGUAUUCUUUUUGGAAGGGGAUACAUUUGAUAGACAUUAGGAAUAUUCCAAACCCCACCAGAUUGUACAAUUGUGUCCUAAUAUCUGAAUAACUAUCAAUUUAGAAGAAUAGAUCAAAUAGAAGUAUCAUUGCUUUGUUUUUCUAAAUAAUCUGACUAACUGUUAUCACUGGGUUGACGUGUCACUAUUUGGAGUUUCUGACAUGUAGUUAAAAAAAACUCUGUCAUUCCAACAGACCAAUUUGGUUUCAAUUUCGACCACAUUAAAACACUGCUCUGAUGUUUACGGAAGACAGGUUAUAAAUAACCACUGGGAGUCAGUCCGACAUACAGCAGGCAGAACGAGAGUUUUAAGAAUCAGAAGAACACUCGCUCAUUCACCGCGAAUUUAUAACUUAAUACUUCGCCAACUGGCGCAGGCGUAGUACACGGAGAUGGCGAACAGCAAUGCCAAGCUGUGUGUGUCUGUUUUGGGUUCAUUGUGGAGAUGAGCUGGAGGUUGAGGGAGCUUCAAUCCUGGGGACUGAUGGAAAGGAAGAUGCUAUAUAGAGUCUGGUGGGGCUGCUGCUGAGAGGAGUGGGAGACAAACUCAAUGAGGAGGAGGAAGCUUUUGUGAAUGAUGAUGAGGAAGUCGACUGAGCCAGAGGGAUUUUCCCCAUUCUAUACCCCCAUUGUCUUCUUCCCGAUUAUACACUUUUUUCCCAAAGUAUGCACUUGCGCAUUUUCUGUCAUGGAUCAGAAUUUGAUUGGCGUAAUUAUUGGCUAAAGGGAGUUCCCACCAUUGUUAAAUCUAUGACGGGAAAGGGUGGAUAAUUGGGAUCUAGCUCUCUAACCCCAGCCCUAACCCCUAGAGAAGUUUCAACUCAGGGUAAUGUAUUGCUAUUAUUGCAUGCCCAAUUAAACAUUGAUUUUGCACAAAGAAACAUGUACAUAGACAUAUAGAUGACUGUCUUCCAGAGCCAUAGGAUAUGAGGGAAACUGUUCAUCUCAAGCCCCAUUCCAUCUUUUGAAUUAUAAAUGUAUAUGAUAUAAGAAUGUAUAUGAAACUACAGUAUUCAGGUGUUUUUGUUACAUUUUAAUUGGGACUAUAGGAAUGUAAAAAAUAGACAAAUCUGUUGAAUGAAACCUAUUUACUUGUAUAAUUUUACAUUAUAUUUAGUUAUUUACUUUAUUUUUUAUUGUAAGAAUAAUGAUGAUGAUGAGACUGCGUACCAUUGAUCUAGCCUUGUCACGCCGUGAUCUGUUACACCUGUCCUUGUGCUUGUCUCCUCCUCCCCCCAGGUGUCGCCAAUCUUCCCUAUUAUCACCUGUGUAUUUAUACCUGUGUUCUCUGUCUUGUUUGUUGCCAGUUUGUCUUGUUCGUUCAAGCUUACCAGCGGUUUUCCUGUCAGCGGCUAUUGUUUCCAACCCUUGCUUUGCUAGUCCUCCUGGUUUUGACCGAUGCCUGACAUCUCUGCCUGAGCCUGCACCUUUGCUCCACCUCUGGAUUACUGAACCCUGCCUGACCCUGAGUCUGCCUGCCGUCCUGUACCUUUGCCUAACCCUUGAUUUUCGACCCCUGCCUGCCUUGACCUGUCUUUGCAUGUCCCUGUUUGCUACAAUAAACAGGGUUACUUCGACAGUCUGCAUCUGGGUCUUACCUUGAUUCUUGAUAAGCCUAUACUGUCAGAUCCAAAUAAUGUUUACAUAAAGCAACAUUGCCAAAGAUGUCAACAUUCCAGACCUCCAGGACAUGUCCUCAUUUGAUCCAGAGAUGGAACCACUGGUUAAAUCGUGACUGGACCAAAGACUGGGGCAGGUACUGUAGCCUACGUAUGCUGUAUGGAAGUGCUACAAUUCUGAGUGGUAUAUGGUCAAACGGUAAUUCUGUGUGCAGAGUCUAUGCAAUGGAAUGUCUGCCUUAUUUGUUUAAGAAUAAUUAAACAAAUUCCAUGUUAUGAUUAUAGUGUUCAAUGUUAACACUGAUUUAGACAGCUUUGUGACUGUUUGAUUUGUUAUUAAUUUAUUGAAUAAAAAUAGAUCUACUGGGCUCCUGAGUGGCGCAGAGGUCUAAGGCACUGCAUCUCAGUGCUAGAGGUGUCACUACAGACCCUGGUUUCGAAUCCAGGCUGUUUCACAACUGGCCAUGAUUGGGAGUCUGCACAAUUGGCCCAGCGUCAUCCGGGUUUGGCCGGGGUAGGCCGUCAUUGUAAAUAAGAAUUUGUCCUUAACUGACUUGCCUAGUAAAAUAAAAAAAUACUGAA